rnacentral:rRNA from 1 species
GAUGAACGCUGGCGGCGUGCCUAAUACAUGCAAGUCGAGCGAACAGACGAGGAGCUUGCUCCUCUGACGUUAGCGGCGGACGGGUGAGUAACACGUGGAUAACCUACCUAUAAGACUGGGAUAACUUCGGGAAACCGGAGCUAAUACCGGAUAAUAUAUUGAACCGCAUGGUUCAAUAGUGAAAGACGGUUUUGCUGUCACUUAUAGAUGGAUCCGCGCCGCAUUAGCUAGUUGGUAAGGUAACGGCUUACCAAGGCAACGAUGCGUAGCCGACCUGAGAGGGUGAUCGGCCACACUGGAACUGAGACACGGUCCAGACUCCUACGGGAGGCAGCAGUAGGGAAUCUUCGGCAAUGGGCGAAAGCUUGACGGAGCAACGCCGCGUGAGUGAUGAAGGUCUUCGGAUCGUAAAACUCUGUUAUUAGGGAAGAACAAAUGUGUAAGUAACUAUGCACGUCUUGACGGUACCUAAUCAGAAAGCUACGGCUAACUACGUG